CCUGAAUAAAUAACAUUUUAUCGUUUUCUUUUAAGGAAACAGUUCAUAUUCUAACUAUAAACUCGAAAACCAUUUAAAACAUGGUCUAGAUAAAAUAAAUUUAAAUAAAAUCCUUCCAACCUAGCCUCCUCCGCAGGCAUCUCACCUGGGGAAUCGGGUAGUCUAAAAAAAACAGAAUAAUUUUUCGAACACCCAUUCGCAGGCCAAAACCAUAGAGAUACUUGCAGAGGGGGCUACGUCCAACCUCGCUAUACGAGACUGUUCUAGUCUGUUUUUAAAACAAGCUUGAUGGUCAACUGGUGAGAUCUGUUACGGGAUGGCUAGAUAGCACUGUAGCCCUAUAUUGGAUCAAAGGGGGUGGAACUUAUAAGCAGUUCGUAGCUAACAGAGUGCGUAAGAUAAACGAGGAGUUCAUCGAGUGGAGACGUG